UCCGGAGAAGCUAAUUAAUGAGCAGGAUGUGCUCAGAUAUAUUUUUGGUUGUUGAAACAAUCCAAUAGGCAAUUUAGCUCCAGCUGAUUGUCAAUUACGGUAAAUCUCGUAGAUAAUUUAUUCGUGAGCAACUUCUUUGGAGCAAGCCAUCAUUACGAAGAUACCAUCCCGUUCUGUUCUCGGCCGGAUUGUCCUUACUGAUCUGCGCAUAUGGUCAAGCGUAUGAUACUCCGUUGUACGUGUUGGGUCACAUAUAGAUUUAUGGUGCCGAAAUAGCGACUACGAAUUGUCCACUGUCUCCAAGAGAUCGUUGUCAUAAAAUGUACCUCAAUUUGACAUGAAAGUUUGGUUCGCCCAAUAUCGUCUCUGUGUUUGUCUCGUGUAUCUAUACUUCGUGAUCUCACUAAAACUCGAAAACUGAUUUGGCUAAUUUUAGUUUCGAAAAAACAAAAGAAUUUAGAAGAUGGUUGAAUACACAUCAUAUAGAUAUGUUCUGUAAAUACCGAUAAGAACACACAACACACUUUAGUAAAAUUGAUGUAGAGACAGACGGCAGUGAUAAAUUGCCGAACAGGCGUUUAAAAAGUGGUAGCAGUUGUGUGGUAACUUUCAAACAUUCAAAUAUCACCGUUAAAAUGAGUUUUAUCAGACAUGAAUUACCUAUUGCCACGAGAGAUCGGUCCUUAGAAUGUCAACAGAAUUUAGACUUUAAACACCCGGAUGAGAGUUGUUUCGGGGUUAAUUGAGGCUAUUCGUCGGGAAACCAGAAGGGGGUCUUAAAAAUAUUAAAACCAUAGUCAAACGAAAUAAAAGAUGAAUAUCUUUCGCUGAGUGGGAAAUAUUUAUUGGGGCAAAAUAUUCCAAUUACUUAUAACAUCAGCGAGUUCAUUGCUGAAAAACAACCCAGAUUGAAUGGAAAUUUUAAAUGGUUCACGGAAAAUUAUUCGACACUAACUGGCCGACAACUCAGAAACCAUCUUGCACAUGGAGAUCCAAUUGUGGAAUUAAUGGACGUGGAUAUAAAAACGGCAGCCAGACACACAGCUAUAAUGCUGAUUAAAGAACUGCAAGUUGAGAGCAGAGAUAAGAUCGAAAAGAUAACAAAAAUGCCCGCAAUUGAUGUGAUGGAGAAUAUUGACUAUUGUCAAAUAACAAAUUUUAACAAAGAAAAGAAAAUGUUUGAUAUUACUACUGAAGGUGACGUGCUCGUAUUUAGAGACUACUCAGAAACUAUUAGCUCAGAAUGGGUGAACUGGCAAGAUUUCAAUAAGAAGAAUGCAUUUCAAUGUGCGGCAGAAAACCAGAAUGAUUAUCUAGUGUUAUUAGAAUUUAUUCAGAAUAAAAAUCCAAACUAUAUUAAACAAUUAAAGACAGACUAUAAUUUACUAUUUCAAGUUGUAGAUCAAAACAAUUUUAAAAUAGCAAAACGCAUUACCGAAUUGUAUUUUUGUGAAUUGCUAGGGAUCAACAGAAAACAAUUGCAACCCAAUGAUAAUAAUCAUUUAUUGGGAUUGUGUGGCCAAUUAAUAAAAAUUGUAUUGGAUAUCAUUAAUUACAUCGAAUUUGAAGACCUGCACAAGCAUAUACCUAUCAAUAGUAUGAUUGCUUCAUUGUAUCAUAUAGCGAACAUAUGUGAAGCAAAAAAAAUGACGAAAUAUCUUAUCAGCAUUGGAAAGAACUUCAAAUUCAAAAAUACAUGUAAUAGACCAGUGUUAACAGUGGACCAAGAAAUUGAGUUCAACUUGGCAAAACUUAAUAACAACAAGAAUAAAAUAUUUAUAUAGAAUUAUGGAAGAUUAUAUAAAGUGGACAGUAGAUAAAUUAAAAGAUUAUAUAAAAAAUGCAUCAUAUAUGUUGGAACCAAGUUUUUUCAAAUAUGAUUUGAAUUGCUUGUGUUUUGCUGUCAAAAGUAACAACCCCGAAAUGGUUAAACAAGUGUAUCAAUGCCUUUCAGUAUUGUUACAUACAAAGGAUCAUAAUGGCAAAACACCUUUAGAAGAUGUUGCCGCCAAGGGGAAUCGUGUGGAGGAAUUUUAUGUUUUAAUAAAACAGGCUAUCAAUAAUUCUUCAAAACAUUCACAAAUGUUUAAGACCGUGGUCAAUAAAAUUAUUAAUUUGCGUGAGUCAUAUUUUUGGAGAUAACAAAGGCGUGGCCCAAUAAUGAGCAGUGUAUUACUGUCUACCUAGAAAUGAGUGAACAUGUCUAAUGCAUUUUUUCUAGUAAAUUGGCGCAAAGCAUUUUAGGGUACUGCUAAGUCCAAUGAGCACUUAAUUAACAUCUGGGCACAAACAGUGAUUUACACCAUUUCAGUUUCCUGAUAAGUCGCACGUUUUCAAAGAGUGCAUAUGGUUUGUUAUAGACAUGUUUGACAUGUUUGACCAAAAAUUGACUGCCCAACCGUAAUAUAA